rnacentral:misc_RNA from 1 species
UCCGGCUUAACGCCGGCAGUCUCCCUAGAGUGCCCAACUGAAUGUGGCAACUAAUGACAAGGGUUGCGCUCGUUGCGGGACUUAACCCGACAUCUCACGACACGAGCUGACGACAGCCAUGCAGCACCUGUACCAGUUCCACCCCGAAGGGCGUACCCCACUUUCAUGGGGAUAAUCCUGGCAUGUCAAGCCCAGGUAAGGUUCUGCGCGUUGCUUCGAAUUGAACCACAUGCUCCACCGCUUGUGUGAGCCCCCGUCAAUUUCUUUGAGUUUUAGCCUUGCGACCGUACUUCCCAGGCGGUCGACUUAGCACUUUUGCUUCGACCGCAACACCAUCAGAGGCGCUGCGAUCUAGUCGACAUCGUUUACGGCCAGGACUA